ACUUGGAGUCGGAGACACAGGUCACACGACACACAUCGUUUAGAAUAAUAUUGCCAAAUUAUUUGGGCCUAGUAUUUUGGGCUCCAUAUACAUGGGCCGAAGAUUAUCUGAUUAUUCCGCUUCUUACUGACGCAUACUUUUUCAGAACGGGAAGUGAGAUAUUUUUCCAGUGACGAAGAAACCAUGGCGGGAAUCGAUACGCAGAAGCAGCUUCUCUCUCUGAUCCGCGACUUCACCUCUGAAAGAUCUCGUGGAGAGCAAAGAGUGGUUGGAUUGAAGAAGCGGAUCGAAUCUCUACAAUCGGAAGUGGAAGCAGCGAAUGCAGAUGUUGAACAUGCGAAACGAAUCAAAGAAGUGGCGGAAGAGGAGCUCAACGGCUACGAAGUUGAAUCGUCUUUGAACGAUGCUACGAUUCAAUCCCUUGAGGCAAGGAUUGCUCUUCUUCAGGAUGAAGUUUCUACUGUUGGCAAUGAAGUGGAUGCUCUCAAGAACAAGGAAGGAUUACUUAGAGAUCAAUUUAUAAGCCAAAUGGUUGAGCUGAACAAGGAAAUAAGGGUGUUCCAGAAAACUGUAGCCUCCCGUGUGGGCAAUGAUGAUAGUACUAGCAUAACUGCAAAUGUCAAAGUUUUUGAGGAUGGUCACGGAGCUGAUUCACAAGCAAUCAAGGAUAUGCUAUCUGAUGUUAAUUCUCAAUUGGCAAAAGAGGAGGAUGGAUUCCUAGCAGAGCAGAAGAUAAAAGAACAGCUGCAGAAAGAGCUUGAUGAAUAUGAGAAGAAGAUGUCACUCAUGGAGGCCAUAAAAGGCAUAACAAAUUCAGUACAAAAUCUCGCUAGGCAGAGUUCUGAGCUGGAACAGACAUUGGCUUCACUGGGGGAAGAGCUGCAGAAGAGAUGCCGAUGCCAACAUUGCCAGGCAGAAAAUUUGGAAGUCUUGAGCUUACUUCUCCAAGGAGACCAGGAUAUGGUGGCGUCUUAGUUAAAGAGAAUCUUACCUAUCUAUGUGUUGCUUGAAGGAAGAUGGAUUUACUCCGGUUCCAAAAUGAAUAAAAGAAAUGAAAAGAAACACGGUCUAAAACACUUACCAAGGAAACAUAUCACCCAAGAUGCAGCAGCCACAUAAAGCAAAACUAAAGCAUUCUGUUAAUUACCCCAUGUACAAAAAGAAGCAAGGUACAUUAGACUUUUCUUAAUGAAAAUAAUAAUUAUAUGUAUUCUCAACGGAAAUUUUACGCAUGAUUCACAUACGAAUAGCUCAAUUCUUAUAAAAUUGCAUAUGAAUAUAUUUUUACAAA